UGAGGGUAAUGCUGUCUGGUUCGAGACCAUUCACCUGAAGCGCACGCAUUCAUCUUUUGAGUGAUCUCGGACCAGGCUUCAUUCCCCCCAACUCAAAAUCACAGGCUAAUUAACCUCUUGGCUAGCUGGAAACCCUUAAUUACGCAACUUCAAUCAAUGGCCUGAUAUCUUUAGCCCACUACAGUUCUUGACCUCUCAAAAUCUGGCAAUCUUGCUUUAUGUUCAGUAUUUCAAUUUGUGUCUCUUUUUUAUAUUCUGUUCGCAGCUCGUAAGAAAGCACCAGUGAAGAUCAAUGAAACACGUACAUACAUGUACAAUUGAGGCUAAUUAAAGAAUCGGAUGUGAUCAUCUAGCUGGCUAGAAUCAGGAUAUUUAAACAGUCAAGAGGGACCUGCUCUGACGUAACAAGCUAUAUCCUAGAUGGAUUAAUUAAGGAAGUUCUACUUUUACUGCAAUGGCGUGUCUGUUUGUGUGCUGAACCAUUCAACUAGCCAAAAUUAGGGAGGGUGCUGUAAAUAAGCACCUAGCUAGUUGUGGUUCUCUUUUAUUUCAAGAAGCCAAGUUAAUUGAUUGAGACAAUCACGCCAUCAAAGAUAAAGCAUGCAUCACUCAAGAAGAAAUUUGCUACAGUUUCACUUACUCUUUGAAAAACUUUGAGGCGUUGGAAAAAGAAAAAAAACCAUUCAAAAAGAAUUUUUCUUGGAGUUUGGUUCCAAAUGCCACCUCUAGCUAGUCUGCACGACCUUUCUUUGUUCUUUACCAAAUUCGUUGAAAAACAGAAUCGGUGUCUAGUGUGAAAAUCUGACUCAAAAGAAAAAAAAAUGCAACAAACAGAGAUUGGGCAGAUUGGCUUUGCUUGUA